AACGAACGCUGGCGGCAUGCCUAACACAUGCAGGUCGAACGAGAUCUUCGGGUCUAGUGGCGCACGGGUGCGUAACGCGUGGGAAUCUGCCCUUUGGUUCGGAAUAACAGUUGGAAACGACUGCUAAUACCGGAUGAUGACGAAAGUCCAAAGAUUUAUCGCCAGAGGAUGAGCCCGCGUAGGAUUAGCUAGUUGGUGUGGUAAAGGCGCACCAAGGCGACGAUCCUUAGCUGGUCUGAGAGGAUGAUCAGCCACACUGGGACUGAGACGCGGCCCAGACUCCUACGGGAGGCAGCAGUGGGGAAUAUUGGACAAUGGGCGAAAGCCUGAUCCAGCAAUGCCGCGUGAGUGAUGGAGACCUUAGGGUUGUAAAGCUCUUUUACCCGGGAUGAUAAUGACAGUACCGGGAGAAUAAGCUCCGGCUAACUCCGUGCCAGCCGCCGCAGUAA
rnacentral:rRNA from 1 species